CUGGAACUCAACCUGUAAACCAAGAUAGCCUCAAACUCACAGCAGUGCCAUAUACUAUUGUCAAGAUGGACCUGGAACUCACUGUAUAGCCCAGGCUUGCCUGAAGCUUGCAACCAUCCUCUGACCUCUGACAAUUAAGUACUGAGAUGUACACAUAUGAGCCGCCAACCUCUAGCUACUUGUCCAUUUUGUUCCUCACAUCUGUCUCAGUCUCUCUGGCCUCUGUGAUGUACCUGUAAAAAGAUGAAAAGCACUAUGUAGCCCUGGUUUGGAGAGCUAUUGUUUCUUGUUGAGACAUCCGCCAGGUGGAAGGUUUACCAUGAUGUCUGACACCAAUUGCUGUUGUGUCCAGAGGUCUCACCCUUUCCUGCCUCCUCCCUUCUCUCUCUGGAUGCUCCCCCAUCUGUUCCUUGUUAAAGAGAAAUGGAGGAGGGUGCCCAGACCUGGGUUCAAUCUCUCUUCCAAAUAGGUAUCUGUGUGCAGAUUUGUAAUUCCAGAUACUCAGAAGCCCAAGGCAUGAGGGAGGACCACAACUUCCAAUGUGGUCUACAGAGAAAUAUUUGAAGGCAACACUGGUAUCUGCUGAAAACCUGUCUUAAAGAAAACUCAACCAAGUGUAUAAUUAUCGGUGAUGGAACUUGUGCCUGGCAUGUCCUGUGCCUUAAGCUCAUUCCAUAUCACCUGCAGUUACUUCAGAGAAGCCAAUUUCUGCCCUUGACUUGGUGUUUUUCUUCUCCUAUAUGGAGUGAUGUUCCUCCUUGCAGUCCACUGUGGUGUGGCUUCAGCAUGGCAAGAAAUCAUUUUGGGGAGGCAAGGCAUGCUUUACCAUCUCCCACUCCCCCACCUGGGACCGUAAGACCUAAAGGAACAUUGGGAUAUUGAGCCUAUCUUACUGUUGAGUAAAGGGAUCUGAUGCCAGGUAUUGCUAUUUUGGUGGUUGAGUCUUUCACUGUGUGCCAACGUAAGAUGGUUAGGAUAGUGGCUUGAUUAUCAGAGAUUCCAAGAGGCUGUGGGUCCAAAAAGCAUACAGGGGGCUAAAAAUGAUGGCGGAAGUGUUAGUCCCUGGGAGCUCCAGUCUCGUAGGAUGAUUGAGGAACUGAGUGAUUUAUGACAGGUGUUGUUUGUGAGUAAGCAGGCCUUAUAGUUGUGUGAGAAACAGUUUUGUUCUGAGGGAAGAUGUGAGGGUUUGAGGGACCCUGGCAUGUCCUGGACCUUAAGUUCCUUCCAUCCACCUGUCAGUGGCCCCUCAGAGGGACCAAUUGCUGCCCUUGACUCAGCGCUUCUCUAACAUGGAGAAAUGUUGCUUCCGUGCUGAUAAGUGCCAUGUGGCUGCAGCAUACCAAGAGAAAGAGUUCUGGAACAGGUUCAGAGGGAAGAUGAAACUUGGAUAGAAUUUAAGGCUGGAGGCCAAAUCUCCUGAACGAGUGGGAUCUAAGGAGAUUUGAAGGGUGAAUUCAUGGCCUAUGGAGUGUGAGGAGAGUGAAAUGGGGCAAGGUAAGAGGAAAUGGGAAAGGAAAGGAGCCCCUCACUCUGGGGUUGUUUAAGUUCUCUCGUGAGCUGAAAAUCAAGAAUUCCAGCACAGUUAGUAACAUUAUAGGUGAUGGUUACCUACAUAUAGAAUAUUCCUUCUAUAGAGUUAAAAUAAUUAUCUGAUAGUAAUAAUGAUUUACACUUAGUUCUUAGCAUGUAUAACCUUGAUUCAUGACUGUAUAAUUUUCCAGAUGGAAACUUGAUAUUUUUCCAAAUUCUUUGGGAAACAUUUCUUCAGUGGGAAGAAAUGAGGACAAUUAAUUCCUGGGAAUUUAGACAUGGUGAUUUUGUCCCUGGCAUCCUAGGCCACAGGAAGGCAAUGGUAACACCUUAUAACCAUGUAACACUGUUCACUCUCUCCUCAUUGUCCAUGUCACCUGGUUCCUGGCUUCACUGAGGUGAGAGAUCAGGAUUUCUUGGCCCCCUCACCUCCUGGAACAUGUGUAUCUGAUUUCAAGGCUAAUGCCACCUGGUGUUGGCAUGACUGAACACCUGCAUCAUCUUAUAUCUGUUCCCAAGUCAUCAGGCUCGAUCCUGUCUCCCAGCUACUCAAAGCCCUAUCCUUUGUGACCUAAACUUUGUCUCUUGGGUCAGGUGAUCUUAGGUGACCCUCACCUACCCCUGGCCAUCAGGAAUCUACUCACCCUAAUAUAGCGAGGUUGUCUUGUUUCCAAGGACAUGCUUUAACCAUGAGGCAGAGUUUUAGGAAGGCUAAGUGGCAGCACAGUGUUAGAAACUGAUAUUAUUGAUGUAUAUGAAAAAACAUGGGCCCCGUGUCCAUGGUUUGGGAGCAAGGACAGUGUAUCUGGUCACUGUUUGUAGGUGAUAGAAUCUUCAGCACUAGUUUGAGACAUCGGUUUCACCAGGUACCCCGUCAGCAGCUGAACAGAAGAGACUUUCGUCAUCCUGUAUGAUCUUGGCCACCCACUUUCCCAGGGUAACCAUUCUUUCCCUGUAUUUCCUGAACCCUCUAACAGCCCACAGGGAGCCACAGUCAAGGGUGAAGGUUCUCACUCACCUGUGGAGCUCUGUGUUCGCUUCUGAGUUUGUGUCUUAGGAUGUUACCUCUGAAACUCUAAUAUUUCUUUCUCUGAAUCCCUGUGACUCUCUUUGGCUGUCCUAAUCAUAGGCAUGUGAAUGUGACCCCACAUUGUAUUGUCCUUGCCCCAUCUGUCUGUAGUUUCUGUGUUUCUCAGUAUAUGUUCCUUAUGAAGCCUUUCCUUCAGGUCUGGGCUCACUGGGUCAUGGCAAUUUCCUCUCAGAGCCAUUUAUGCAAGUGUCUGUGUGUGGUGUUAGUCUGAGAAAUGUAGAGAGUGGACUGUCCAGGAGGGUAACUAGCGAAGGAUGCAGGAUUUCAGGAGCAGCUGCAUGCAGAGGCUUUGCCCCUUCCCAUCUCCUCUGCCUACACUUGUGUGUCCUCUUUGGUGCCUAGCUAAGCUGACGUGGUAAGGGAGCCUAUCCCUUGGUCCAGAUCUUCGCGCAAUCACAGUCAAUGAAGGUCUGCAUACCUUGAUGAGGAGGCAUAUGCCGGAGAAAAUAGGUGAAGUUUAGCGCAGACUGUAAUACCAAACAUCUUCCAGAUAAAGCUGGGCAACUUAGUGAUCUCCUCUCCAAAAAGCUAAGGGGUACAGUUCAGUAGUAGAGCAUUUGCCUGGCAUUCACAGGCUCUGGGUUUCAUUUCUGUUCACCUUCUCUGCAUGCUAUCUUUGAAGAGCCAAUCUUUUAAGACUCAGUUUUUGCUGAACAAUGGGAUGCUGUUGCCUGCUGCCUAAGAGGGUAUUGAGUCCACAGGAAUGCAAGUGCAUGGAAUUGCCUUGGAGACUAGGUUAAUUUAACAUCUACCUGCUGUGUCUUUGCCUUGGCUAUGUAGGGUUUUGGCAGUGUGACCUCCAUAAUCCCCUGUCCUGUCCUAUGAGCUCAUUCUCUUCCUGAAUAUAGAACACUGUGGUCUGCCAUAGAAAUUCCCCAGGGAACUUAGCACACUCCUUCUGGGAACACAGUAGGCACAUGGUUUCAUGGUGACUCCUGGGUGAAAGGAAAGCAAGGACUUUCUCCCCACUGAACAUUUCUUGGUCGUGGUAGGCUCGGAGAUGGAUUGAGUAAGGAAGUCCCGGUCUGGGAAACAUGCUGUGUUCUCAUAGGUCAUUGUGCUUCUAGGAUUCACUGGGAAGGUGUACAAGGGAUGCCAGUGACCAUGGUCAUUCAGUCAGCCAGUGUAGAGCGAGAUGGGGUAACAACAAGGGCCUAUGAAGGCAUAUUGACACACUUCCCUCUUUUCAUUACUGAGGUAGUGGGAUUGCUUUUGUGAGUUGAAGACUGUGUUAGCUAUAAUGUACCAAACCAGCCUGAACUACAUGGCAAGUGGUAGUUUUAUACUCCUUCUCUCAUAAAAGUUCUGGGAAGUUAAUGGAGCAUAUCUUCAACCUGAGCACUUUGCAGCCUGAGGCAGGGGGGUUGUUAUUUUGAGGCCAGCCUGUGCUACUUGUAAGAAAUCAUGGGGUGAUUGAGGGAAUAAAAAGAGAAACACGUGGUGAUGCAUGCCUCUCAUCCCAGCACUUGGGAGGCAUAAGUAGGAUUGCCAUGAGGUCAAAGUUACCCUGAGACUACAUAGUGAAUUUCCCGGUCAGGGUGGCCUAGAAUGAGACACUAUCUAGAAAGAUCAAAUGGGUGAAAAGAGGAAGAAAACAACAAGGAAGGUGAAAAAAGUGGUGGAAGGGAAGAAGUAAAGGAUGGUGCAUGACUUAGUAAGUUGCUCAUGCCUCUCAUCCCAGCACUUGGGAGGAUGAUGCAUGAGAAUUACAGUGAUUUCAAAGUCUGCCUGGGUUGUACAGUGAGAUACCACUUCAAAAUAAUGAGGAGCAAGGGCAGGACUGGGAGAUUGAGAGAUUCUCAUACCAGAACUAGAACUCCCAGAGAGAAGAAGGGCAUCCAACAUGGAAGCAUCAUUCCAAAGAUAUAAGAUUGUGAAAAAAAGUAUGCCAUUCAGAGACAUUUAAUAAUCAGUGGGUGCCAAUGCCAAGGUAUCUGUUUGCAGUGUGUAUGGAAAAAGAGUGAUCAACAGGCAGAUGACAGAUAAAUUUUGUGGAAGUGAAACUAUUCUAGUUAAUAAUGGGAUGCCAGAUACAUGGCACUUAUUUGUGAAAAGCUACCAAGUAUUUGCAGUGAAGAGUGAGCCCUACUGUAAAUUGUGGACUUAGUGACCGCUUAAGUAUUUGUUCAUUAUUUCUUACCAUCCUCAAAUAUAUAGGUUCAUAACGUAAUAAUACAUUGAGUACAUGAAAAAUGCUAGGAAGAGGAAAGUAUGAGGUAUAAAGGAUAAGAAUACGGAAAAAAGUGUGGUAUAGACUCAGUUCUUCUGUGAAAUAAGCCAGUUUUGGAAAGUAACACUUUGUAGUCUGCAGUACAUCAUGGAGCACUUGGAGGACUGUGUUCAGUCAAGAGCAAAAUGUGCAGAUGUUGCGGUGAACAAAUGAUAGUAGUUAGGAAUCAUGGGUAGAAAUGAAAUCCUACAACACAGCAACAAACUGUGUUGUAUAAAUUUAAGAUGCUACUUGCAUGUAGUAAUGUUUCAAAGCAAGAAUUUUGCAUCUUGUAUUUAAACUGAAUUCUCCUAGAAAAUUUAAUCAUAUCUCAAAAAUCCAGAGCCAUAAUUCUGAAUCUGUUAGUCCAUUGUAAUUUGAGGUUGAAAGGCUUUUAAUGUCCUUCUAUAAAAGUCUAAUGUGAAGCCAGAAAUUCUGUAGUAGAAGAAUUUUAACAGGGAAACCAGACCCAGAUGAUAGUCUAGAAUACAAGUUUCUAUUAGUCAAGCUUAUACCAUGGAGACAGCAUGAACCCAAGCGUCUUCCCCAUUCAUGUGUAAGAACCCUGCUUGUAUUAUUUAUUAUCUGGUUGGUGUAGCCGUAGGCACCAACACCCCUGAACAAACAGCUUUCUGUUCUAUAUUUGUACUUUAAUACUGAUUUAUUGCUAAGAAAUAUUAUGUUUGUGCCUCCAAGUCAUGUAAUCUUGGUAGCUUAUAACCCACCAUUACUGUAAAGAGUUCAUGAUGAUGCCGUACUGUUAACCACACUGUCCAUAAACCCCUGUGACGUCAGAGCUCAGUACUCAGCCUUUGGAAGUUAUUCUCCUGAAUCUAUAUUGACACGAAUAAACUUUCUGUUCUCCUCUCUGUC